rnacentral:rRNA from 1 species
AACCUGCGGAAGGAUCAUUACCACACCAAAAAAAACCCACGUGAACGUACUCUGUAUUAGGAUCGUACUGCCCCUUGUGGGUGGUUAUCCGAAGGUUUCGAAAGAGACCGAUGUCUAUUUAAUCCCUUUUAAACAAUAUCUGAUCAACAUUGCAGACAGAAAUGUGUGCAUGAAAUUGAAAUACAACUUUCAACAGUGGAUGUCUAGGCUCGCACAUCGAUGAAGAACGCUGCGAACUGCGAUACGUAAUGCGAAUUGCAGAAUUCAGUGAGUCAUCAAAAUUUUGAACGCAUAUUGCACUUCCGGGUUAGUCCUGGGAGUAUGUUUGUAUCAGUGUCCGUUGACAAAAAAUUGCUUCAUUUUUCAAUGAAGCAGAAGGUGGAGUGUCUUGCUUUGGCAAGUCCUCCUAAAUGACGGAUACCUGUACGCCCUUGUGGAAUACAUUAUACAAAGGUAUAUAUGAUUUCGAUUUCGAUUGUCCUGUGCAAUGGCACGAGUAUUGAAAGAGAAAUAAAUUGCGGUAGCUUUGCUUGUGCUUCGGCAUCGGUGAACAUAUUAUUGCUUUUUGUUGCUCUGGAAGUGUUCGUGACAGAGUGCAGGAUGCGUUGUCGAAUAGUAUAUGCUGGUGUGUUCCUUGACGUAUGGAGGACAAUUGGGAAAUUAAUCCAAUUUGGACCUGAUAUCAAACAAGACUACCCGCUGAACUUAAGCAUAUCAAUAAGCGG